GGGUGGCGGGUGCUAUAAUGCAAGUCGAACGAAACUUCUUUAUCACCGAGUGCUUGCACUCACCGAUAAAGAGUUGAGUGGCGAACGGGUGAGUAACACGUGGGCAACCUGCCCAAAAGAGGGGGAUAACACUUGGAAACAGGUGCUAAUACCGCAUAACCAUAGUUACCGCAUGGUAACUAUGUAAAAGGUGGCUAUGCUACCGCUUUUGGAUGGGCCCGCGGCGCAUUAGCUAGUUGGUGGGGUAAAGGCUUACCAAGGCAAUGAUGCGUAGCCGAACUGAGAGGUUGAUCGGCCACAUUGGGACUGAGACACGGCCCAAACUCCUACGGGAGGCAGCAGUAGGGAAUCUUCCACAAUGGGCGAAAGCCUGAUGGAGCAACGCCGCGUGGGUGAAGAAGGUCUUCGGAUCGUAAAACCCUGUUGUUAGAGAAGAAAGUGCGUGAGAGUAACUGUUCACGUUUCGACGGUAUCUAACCAGAAAGCCACGGCUAACUACGUGCCAGCAGCCGCGGUAAUACGUAGGUGGCAAGCGUUAUCCGGAUUUAUUGGGCGUAAAGGGAACGCAGGCGGUCUUUUAAGUCUGAUGUGAAAGCCUUCGGCUUAACCGGAGUAGUGCAUUGGAAACUGGGAGACUUGAGUGCAGAAGAGGAGAGUGGAACUCCAUGUGUAGCGGUGAA
rnacentral:rRNA from 1 species